CGGUGUAGAGAGAUUGGGAUGAAAGUGUGGGUAGUUGUUAGAAAAUAACUUAUACUGAGCGUGACCAACAUGAGAACCACAUGGAUGUCUACUCACUUAUCAGUGAUCUUCAUGAUGCUACAAUGAUGUGAGUGGUCCUUUGACCUACGAUGCCAUUGGCUAUUUGCAGCAAGGCUACUAGGUUUGACUGUACGUUUUCUUGAUCCCUAGCCAUUC
rnacentral:lncRNA from 1 species